CCCUUAGAUGUUCUGGGCUGCACGCGUGCUACACUGAUUAUUUCAACAAGUGUUUUAACUGGAGAGUUCGCGUAAUCCUGAAAUGUUAUCGUGAUGGGAGUAGAGUAUUGUAUUUGUUAAUCUUUAACGAGGAAUUCCUAGUAAGUGUAGGUUUAUAAGUUGUUCUGAUUACGUCCCUGCCCUUUGUACACACCGCCCGUCGCUCCUACCGAUUGAUUGAUCCGGUGAAUUACAUAGAAUUUUGCGUUUUACACGACGGAAGACGAAGUGUUUUAAACCUUAUCAUUUAGAGGAAGGAGAAGUCGUAACA
rnacentral:rRNA from 1 species